rnacentral:rRNA from 1 species
UACAGGGGGGCAAGCGUUGUUCGGAAUUACUGGGCGUAAAGGGUCUGUAGGUGGCCAACUAAGUCAGACGUGAAAUCCCUCAGCUUAACUGGGAACUGCGUCUGAUACUGGAUGGCUUGAGUGUGGGAGAGGAAGUGCGGAAUUCCAGGUGUAGCGGUGAAAUGCGUAGAUAUCUGGAGGAACACCGGUGGCGAAGGCGGCAUUCUGGACCAUCACUGACGCUGAGGCACGAAAGCGUGGGUAGCAACAGGG